GCCCCGAUGGCGGAACUGGUAGACGCGCACGACUCAAAAUCGUGUAUCUUCGGAUUUGUCGGUUCGAUUCCGACUCGGGGUACAA
rnacentral:tRNA from 1 species